rnacentral:tRNA from 1 species
GGGGAUGUGGUGGAACUGGUAGACACGCUAGGUUUAGAACCUAGUGCCGCAAGGCGUGGGGGUUCGAUUCCCUCCAUCCCUACCA